CAUCAGCGCAUUGCGGUACUGUUUUGUGUCAGGUCAAGAGAUGGACUGUGGAAGGCAGUCCUUAACUUCACAUGCACUUUUAUGCUUAACUUUUCCUGUUGUUAAGCCUUUUACACUAAUAUGUAAAAUAAAAAGGAAAUCUUCAUCAGUAAUAUUUGAAAUACAAGUACUGAAAACACGAUAUGGCUGUUACUGGGUUUUCAGGUAUUUCAUUAAGAAGAAAAGCCAACUCCCAGUUUUUAAAGCAGUGAAAUGUUCCGUGGUGGACCAGAGAGCCAAAUAAGCCAUCACUUCAGUUAGUCAAGUAUUAUAACAAAGGACCACGCGGUUGAAAGAGGAAUGAAUGUCUUUAUUUAGCUUCCCACACGAAGCUUGGUCUCAGUUCUGGACGUUUUGCUAUCCUUCCUUUUUUAUUGAGUCGGGGAAACUGAGAGGAAACCCAGAACACUUUUUAUUAUUCAUAUAGAAAAUGUAUGAAAAUGAACAGCCUGACUUUUAAUAAUGGAAAGGUUAAAAUACCCCUGUCUAGUAGUUAUAUCAGAAUAGUUAAAAUCCUUAAAAUUCUCUGUAAGCCAUGGAAAAGAAAAGGAUAGCCUAACAAUAACUUCCACAUUUCCCCAUCUACAAUCCAGUUUUCCACUGCAAAUACAAGUCAGGCUUGGUAGCUCAUACAUGUAGUCCCAACAGCUGGGAGAGCAAGCAGGGCAGAGACAUUAUGGAUUCGAGGCUAUCCUGGGUACCUUGUAAGAUUCUGUCCCAAGUAUAAUACUAAUAGUAAUAAUUUUAAAAGAAAGGAGACAGAACCAGGUUAUUCAAGCAAUUUUUGCAAACCUAUAGGCAUCACAGUCCUGAAUCCAGGCUCCCCUUUCGGUUCAUCUCGUUAAAACAGACACUUUCCUAUGAAUGGAAACAUUAUUUUCCUCAAAGCACUUACUCAACACAUGCUCCUUAUAUUAAGGAGCACGUAACCGCGGUUUUGUAAAUGCCCUCUGUGUAACUUUUUCCUAUCACAUGGUUCUUUUUCCAUUCAUUUGAUCUUCUGCUGGUGUAGGGGCCAAUAGAUUUGUGAAUAUUCUGUGGAUGUGUCCAUGUAUAAGUGUAUAUAUAUAAAUGUAUAUAUAAUUUUUUCCAGCUAAUACCUCAGAUAUGUGAUUGUUUAAUAAGUACCAUACUGUUUGCACAGAGCAGGGCUUCCAUUGGUGGGUUCUUAUUUUAAAAAUUGACCAUUAGUCAAUAGAAUUUCGUCACUGUGAAAUAUUUUCAGUUGAUCUCCAUGUUUUAAUUCGGAUUCCUAUCAUGAGGCCCGCGCGUCAUAUAAAAUUGUAUCUCUCUGAGCCUGGUAACCCAGAAGUGGUUCUUGAAAUAUCCUGGUUUAAAUUAUUAAAACUCGGGGUGACUGGUUACUGUGCUGUCUAGUAACUGCACAGAGGCAACAGGCACCUGAUGCAAGUGCUGGCAAGUCUUGCUGGUUUCUCUGUAAGGUCAUGCUUAGCCUUUCAACAGGACUGUGACAUAGGGAGGUGCUUUUGAGGGACACUGUAGCACUUUUACCAGGUCCUUCCAAACGAAUCGUUUUUGACUUGGGUGACUACAGUACGACAGAAACAGUUGGUAUCUGUAAUUUAUUUGUAUUAAAAAGUGCUUCAUAUUUUCUUUACUUCUGGUCAUCAGAUUGCUAUGUGAGACUUUUCAUUUCAAUUUUUAGGGUGUUUGUUUUUAAGCUGCAGGUAAUUUCCAAGGUGUGAUAUGGGUUUUCAAGAUUUGGUGAGAUUUUAAUGGAAGCCUUGUGUACACAAAAUGAAGUGCUAUUGGUAAAGGAGAUUUCCCUAGUGCAUUCAAGACCACAUAAUUAGGUUUAAAAAUGGAAGGUCUGAUUUGUAAAAAUUUAAUGUUAUAUCAAACUUAUAUAAGGUUUCGUGUGAGAACUCUUAAGCCACUUUUGAUUUUUAAUGAAUGUUCUAAUGAAUGAUUUACAAAUUUUUGUCUUUCAGUCUCUGUAAUUUAUCUCAACAUAUGAAUAAAAAGAAGGGAUGUUCUCACCAUAAAAAGGCUUGUUUUCAUUAUAGUACAUCCUUCAAUUUUUUUCUUUUCCUUUUCUCCUCCUCCUCUUCUUCCUCUUCUUCCUCCUCUUCUUCUUCUUCCUCCUCUUCCUCCUCCUCCUCUCCUUCUUUUGAGACAAGAAUCUCACUAUGUAG
ensembl:lncRNA